AUGUAUACAGGAGUUAUCCAGAACCCUAGAUACUUAGUCAAAGUAAGUGAUGAGAUUGUGUUGCUCAGCUGUGAUCCCAUCAAAGGACAUCUUUAUAUUUACUGGUAUCAACAGCUCCUCAAUAAAGAAUUAAAGUUCCUGACUUAUGGAGAAAAAGAAAACAUCUUAGAUAAAUCAGGGAUGUCUGAGAAGAGAUACACAUUUGAAUGUCCCAAAGAGUCACCUGGUAUCCUCAAGAUCCAUCCCAAAGAACCUGGGGACUCAGCCAAGUUUCUCUGUGCUAGUAGCCUAGACACAGAGCUGCAGAUUCAGCUCUUCUCUAUACACAAACACACCCUGCUCAAUAGGAAAGAAUGA